rnacentral:rRNA from 1 species
AACGUAGGGGGCAAGCGUUGUCCGGAAUUACUGGGCGUAAAGGGCGCGUAGGCGGUUAUUUAAGUCAGAGGUGAAAACUCUGGGCUCAACUCAGAGCCUGCCUCUGAAACUGGGUGACUUGAGGGCAGGAGAGGGGAGUGGAAUUCCCAGUGUAGCGGUGAAAUGCGUAGAUAUUGGGAGGAACACCAGUGGCGAAGGCGACUCUCUGGCCUGUUACUGACGCUGAGGCGCGAAAGCGUGGGGAGCAAACGGGAUUAGAUACCCCGGUAGUCCACGCCGUAAACGAUGGGUGCUAGGUGUAGGAGGUAUCGACCCCUUCUGUGCCGUAGUUAACACAAUAAGCACCCCGCCUGGGGAGUACGGCCGCAAGGUUGAA